rnacentral:rRNA from 1 species
AUUGAACGCUGGCGGCAGGCUUAACACAUGCAAGUCGAGCGGGGGAGGUUGCUUCGGUAACUGACCUAGCGGCGGACGGGUGAGUAAUGCUUAGGAAUCUGCCUAUUAGUGGGGGACAACAUUCCGAAAGGGAUGCUAAUACCGCAUACACCCUACGGGGGAAAGCAGGGGAUCUUCGGACCUUGCGCUAAUAGAUGAGCCUAAGUCGGAUUAGCUAGUUGGUGGGGUAAAGGCCUACCAAGGCGACGAUCUGUAGCGGGUCUGAGAGGAUGAUCCGCCACACUGGGACUGAGACACGGCCCAGACUCCUACGGGAGGCAGCAGUGGGGAAUAUUGGACAAUGGGCGGAAGCCUGAUCCAGCCAUGCCGCGUGUGAAGAAGGCCUUUUGGUUGUAAAGCACUUUAAGCGAGGAGGAGGCUCUUAAGGUUAAUACCCUUGAUGGGUGGACGUUACUCGCAGAAUAAGCACCGGCUAACUCUGUGCCAGCCGCCGCGGUAACAC